rnacentral:rRNA from 1 species
GAUGAACGCUGGCGGCGUGCCUAAUACAUGCAAGUCGAGCGAACAGACGAGGCGCUUGCUCCUUUGACGUUAGCGGCGGACGGGUGAGUAACACGUGGAUAACCUACCUAUAAGACUGGUAUCACUUCGGGAAACCGGAUCUAACACCGUAUAAUAUCUUGAACCGCAUGGUUCAAUAGUGAAAUACGGCUUUUGUGUCACUACUCGAGGGUUCUGCGCCUCAUUAGGUGGUGGUGAAGGUAACGGGUUACCAAGGCAACGCUGCGUAGGCGAACGGAGAGGGUGAUCGGCCACACUGGAACGGAGACACGGUCCAGACUCCUACGGGAGGGAGCAGUAGGGAAUCUUCCGCAAUGGGCGAGAGCCUGACGGAGCAACGCCGAGUGAGUGAUGAAGGUCUUCGGAUCGUAAAACUGUGUUAUUAGGGAAGAACAAAUGUGUACUGAACUAAGCACGUCUUGACGGUACCUAAUCAGAAAGCAACGGCUAACUACGUG